rnacentral:rRNA from 1 species
GCCGCGAGGCAGAGCGAAUCGCUAAAAGACCGUCCCCAGUUCGGAUUGCAGGCUGCAACCCGCCUGCAUGAAGUUGGAAUCGCUAGUAAUCGCGGAUCAGCAUGCCGCGGUGAAUACGUUCCCGGGCCUUGUACACACCGCCCGUCACACCAUGAGAGUCGGGAACACCCGAAGUCCGUAGCCUGACCGCAAGGGGGGCGCGGCCGAAGGUGGGUUCGAUAAUUGGGGUGAAGUCGUAACAAGGUAUC